rnacentral:pre_miRNA from 1 species
UUAGCUCAUAUUUGUAUGGAACGGGAUCGUUUGCGUACGUUUGCCGCUAGGGGCGCUGUUCCAAGUGCAUACAAAAUUGGGUUA